CCCAGUACAUGAACCGGACAACCUUGUAUUGCCCGUUAUAUACAGCAACGCAGUGGAAGCCUAGGGUUUGUGAUUGGAAGUCAAAAGUUUGCAUUUUUGUUAGCUCAAUUCGCUCGCAUUUUUCAUGAAACGAUUGUUCAUCCCCGAGGAAUUUUUGGCUUAAUCGAGGAUCGAUCAACGAUAUAAUCUUCAACUCGUUGCUUUGCAUGUGGACCACAUACUGGGUUUGAUGAUAUGCACACACUUGAAAUGGAACAAAAUGCUGCUUUUCUUGUUUGAAACUGUUUUGUUCGAAUGAGAGAGGCUGUUGCGGCUCCAGCUCCCACCACAUCUUUGGAAAAGGCGUUAUGGCUCAGCAAUCAUCUCGUCUUAAUCGUCUCCUUACUCUGUUGGACACUGGUUCAACCCAAGCAACAA